rnacentral:rRNA from 1 species
AACGAACGCUGGCGGCAUGCCUAACACAUGCAAGUCGAACGAGACCUUCGGGUCUAGUGGCGCACGGGUGCGUAACGCGUGGGAACCUGCCCUUAGGUUCGGAAUAACUCCCCGAAAGGGGUGCUAAUACCGGUUAAUGUCUUCGGACCAAAGAUUUAUCGCCUUUGGAUGGGCCCGCGUUGGAUUAGCUAGUUGGUAGGGUAAAAGCCUGCCAAGGCGACGAUCCAUAGCUGGUCUGAGAGGAUGAUCAGCCACACUGGGACUGAGACACGGCCCAGACUCCUACGGGAGGCAGCAGUGGGGAAUAUUGGACGAGGGGCGAAAGCCUGAUCCAGCAAUGCCGCGUAAGUGAUGAAGGCCUUAGGGUUGUAAAGCUCUUUUACCCGGGAUGAUAAUGACAGUACCGGGAGAAUAAGCACCGGCUAACUACGUG